CCUACGGGAGGCAGCAGUAGGGAAUAUUGCUCAAUGGGGGAAACCCUGAAGCAGCAACGCCGCGUGGAGGAUGAAGGUUUUCGGAUUGUAAACUCCUUUUUUUAAAGAAGAUAAUGACGGUAUCUAACGAAUAAUCACUGGCCAACUCCGUUCAGGCAGCCGCGGUAAUACGGCGGGUGCAAGCGUUACCCGGAAUCACUGGGCUUAAAGAGCACGUAGGCGGGUUAGCAAGUCAGAUGUGAAAUUCUAGGGCUUAACCAUAGAACUGCAUUUGAAACUGUUAGUCUAGAGUAUGGUAGAGGUAGGUGGAAUUCUUGGUGUAGGGGUAAAAUGCGUAGAGAUCAAGAGGAACACUCAUUGCGAAGGCGACCUACUAGAACAUCACUGACGCUGAUGCGCGAAAGCGUGGGGAGCAAACAGGAUUAGAUACCCUUGUAGUC
rnacentral:rRNA from 1 species